rnacentral:rRNA from 1 species
UACGGGGGAAGCAAGCGUUGUUCGGAUUUACUGGGCGUAAAGGGCGCGUAGGCGGCGCAACAAGUCACUUGUGAAAUCUCCGGGCUUAACCCGGAGCGGCCAAGUGAUACUGUCGUGCUAGAGUGCGGAAGGGGCUACUGGAAUUCUCGGUGUAGCGGUGAAAUGCGUAGAUAUCGAGAGGAACACCUGCGGCGAAGGCGGGUAGCUGGGCCGACACUGACGCUGAUGCGCGAAAGCCAGGGGAGCGAACGGG